AGGGCUUGCCCUGGGGCAAGCCGCGAACGGGUGAGUAUCACGUGGGUAACGUGCCCCGAUGACCGGGACAACCCGAGGAAACUCGGGCUAAUACCGGAUGUGCUGUGUGGCCUCAAGGCCACCCAGUAAAGGAAGCUUCGGCCUCCGCAUUGGGAGCGGCCCGCGGCCCAUUAGCUUGUUGGUGAGGUAACGGCUCACCAAGGCAACGAUGGGUAGCUGGUCUGAGAGGACGAUCAGCCACACUGGGACUGAGACACGGCCCAGACUCCUACGGGAGGCAGCAGUGGGGAAUCUUGCGCAAUGCGCGAAAGCGUGACGCAGCAACGCCGCGUGAGGGAAGAAGGCCUUCGGGUUGUAAACCUCUUUCAGGAGGGACGAAGGUUCAGGCGCGAAUAGCGUCCUGGACUGACGGUACCUCCAGAAGAAGCUCCGGCUAACUACGUGCCAGCAGCCGCGGUAAUACGUAGGGAGCAAGCGUUCGGAAUCAUUGGGCGUAAAGAGCGCGUAGGCGGCCCUGUAAGUCCGCUCUGAAAGUCAAAGGCUCAACCUUUGAAAGCGGGUGGAUACUGCAGGGCUAGAGUCCGGAAGAGGCGAGUGGAAUUCCUGGUGUAACGGUGGAAU
rnacentral:rRNA from 1 species